CCAUAUCACAUUGAAACACCGGUUCUCGAACGAUCGCCAAAUUUAAGCAACGUCCAGCCUAGUCAGUACCUUGAUGGGUGACCGCUUGGGAAUGCUAGAAGCUGUAA